rnacentral:misc_RNA from 1 species
AAGUCGUAACAAGGUUUCCGUAGGUGAACCUGCGGAAGGAUCAUUACCAAUAUAAAGCGGGUUGGGACUCCCAGCAGCGUGCUCCGGCGCGCUGCUGGCCCGGCCUUUGCUGAAUAUUCACCCAUGUCUUUUGCGUACUAUCUGUUUCCUCGGUGGGUUCGCCCACCAGCAGGACAUUACUAAACCUUUUGUAAUUGCAAUCAGCGUCAGAAAAACAUAAUUAUUACAACUUUCAACAACGGAUCUCUUGGUUCUG